rfam:Vibrio variabilis DNA, contig: contig00003, strain: JCM 19239.
GCCGGUGUGGUGAAAUUGGUAUACACGACGGAUUCAAAAUCCGUUGCCUUCGGGCGUGGCGGUUCAAGUCCGCCCACCGGUA